rnacentral:lncRNA from 1 species
GCGCUCGCUCGGUGCUCUGCGCUCGGUUGGUGCUGGUGGUGGCCGGUUCCCGGUAGGGAGCGGCCUUCUCCGCGUCCGGCCGGGGCUGCCUCAGCGCCUGCCGCUCCGGGUGUGGUUGAACAGUGCAGAAAUUGACUUCAGACUAGCAGCUGGAGAGUGGAGAGACUGCUCCCUGCCCUAUCUGCAGAGAUUUUUAAACAGGUUCGGAAGACUCCCAGGAUGAAGCUGCUGUGAGGAGCUUGAGGGGCCAGCACACAGGCUUUCAGGGCUCCCUUUCUGAGUGGAAUACAG